rnacentral:rRNA from 1 species
UGGGGAAUAUUGCACAAUGGGGGAAACCCUGAUGCAGCGACGCCGCGUGAGCGAAGAAGGCUUUCGAGUCGUAAAGCUCUGUCCUAUGAGAAGAUAAUGACGGUAUCAUAGGAGGAAGCCCUGGCUAAAUACGUGCCAGCAGCCGCGGUAAUACGUAUGGGGCGAGCGUUGUCCGGAAUUAUUAGGCGUAAAGGGUACGUAGGCGGUUUUUUAAGUCAGGUGUCAAAGCGUGGAGCUUAACUCCAUUAAGCACUUGAAACUGAAAGACUUGAGUGAAGGAGAGGAAAGUGGAAUUCCUAGUGUAGCGGUGAAAUGCGUAGAUAUUAGGAGGAAUACCGGUGGCGAAGGCGACUUUCUGGACUUUUACUGACGCUCAGGUACGAAAGCGUGGGGAGCAAACAGG